CUCCCCGCCCCCGCAGGAGGGGCGGGGAGGGGUGAAUGGAGUAGCGGAGAUCCCUCAGCCCCAGCGCUCCCCUCUCUGGCCUCCGCACCCGCCUGCCUGCAGCGCCACUCGCACUGUUCCCCCUCCUUACCCCGAGAGGGGACCCAUGAGUCCGAACCCCUCCCCGCCAGGCCUCCACGUCGCCGACCCGCAAUGGCCAAGCGCAGUUCGCUGUCCAUCCGAAUCGUAGAAGGGAAAAAUCUGCCCGCCAAGGACAUCACGGGCAGCAGCGACCCCUACUGCAUCGUGAAGGUGGACAAUGAACCCAUCAUCAGGACAGCCACUGUGUGGAAGACCCUGUGCCCCUUCUGGGGUGAAGACUACCAAGUACACUUGCCCCCCACGUUCCACACGGUGGCCUUCUAUGUCAUGGAUGAGGAUGCCCUUAGCCGGGACGAUGUGAUCGGGAAGGUCUGCCUCACGAGGGACGCGCUAGCCUCUCACCCAAAGGGAUUCAGUGGAUGGACCCACCUGGUGGAGGUGGACCCGAACGAGGAGGUGCAGGGUGAGAUCCACCUGCGCCUGGAGGUGGUGCCAGGGGUCCAUGCCAGCCGGCUGCGCUGCGCGGUGCUUGAGGCGAGGGACUUAGCACCAAAAGAUCGGAAUGGCGCAUCUGACCCUUUUGUCCGAGUGCACUACAAUGGCCGGACCCAGGAGACCUCGGUGGUGAAGAAAUCCUGCUACCCACGCUGGAAUGAGACAUUUGAUUUUGAGCUGGAAAAAGGAGCCUCAGAAGCACUGCUGGUGGAGGCCUGGGACUGGGAUCUUGUUAGCCGGAAUGACUUUCUAGGCAAAGUGGCGGUCAAUGUCCAGAGACUUUGUUCAGCCCAGCAGGAAGAGGGCUGGUUCCGGCUGCAGCCUGACCAGUCCAAAAGCCGUCAAGGCAAGGGCAACCUGGGCUCCUUGCAGUUGGAAGUGCGGCUGCGGGACGAGACAGUGCUGCCGUCCGUCUGCUACCAGCCCCUGGUACAACUGUUGUGCCAGGAGGUGAAGCUGGGCACUCAGGGCCCAGGACGGCUGAUUCCUGUCAUUGAGGAGACAACUAGUGCCGAGUGUCGCCAGGAAGUGGCCACCACCCUGCUCAAACUCUUCCUGGGGCAGGGGCUGGCCAAGGACUUUCUGGAUCUGCUUUUUCAGCUGGAGCUGGGCCGCACCAGUGAAGCCAACACCCUCUUCCGGAGCAAUUCUCUGGCCUCAAAGUCCAUGGAGUCUUUCCUGAAGGUGGCAGGGAUGCGCUAUCUGCAUGGCAUCCUGGGCCCCAUCAUUGACAGAGUGUUCGAGGAGAAGAAGUACGUGGAGCUGGACCCCAGCAAAGUGGAAGUUAAGGAUGUAGGGUGCUCUGGGCUGCACCGCCCACAGACCGAAGCUGAAGUGUUAGAGCAGAGUGCACAGACGCUGCGUGCCCACUUAGUGGCGCUGCUGAGCGCCAUAUGCCGCUCGGUUCGCACGUGCCCAGCCAUCAUCCGCGCCACAUUCCGGCAGCUGUUCAGGCGCGUGCGCGAGCGCUUCCCGAACGCCCAGCACCAGAACGUACCAUUCAUCGCGGUCACCAGCUUCCUGUGCCUGCGCUUCUUCUCUCCCGCCAUCCUGUCGCCCAAGCUCUUCCACCUGCGAGAGCGGCAUGCAGAUGCCCGCACCAGCCGCACGCUGCUUCUGCUGGCCAAGGCGGUCCAGAACAUAGGCAAUAUGGACACACCGGUCUCUAGGGCCAAAGAGUCGUGGAUGGAACCACUCCAGCCUACCGUGCGCCAGGGCGUGGCGCAGCUGAAGGACUUCAUUAUGAAGCUUGUGGACAUAGAAGAAAAGGAAGACAGGGUCUCAUUCAACCCAGGGCUGGCUGCAAACUCACUGCCAAGAAUGAUCUUAAAUUCAAGUGGAUCCUCUGGCCUCCACUCCCCGAGGGCUGAGAUUAUAGCAUGUGCCACCAAGCCUGUGUUUCUGUGGUGCUGUGACUCUAACUCAGGGUCUGCCCAUGCUAGGCACCAACUUAACUUCAUCCCCAGCCCUUUUCCCCCACGACCCUACCCACUGUAGGUCUUAGCACCUCCCCUAAUCUCCCCGACCCUUCGAUUUCCCACCCAUUUUCUUUCCUGCUUUCAGAGCUGGACCUGCAGCGGGCUUUGAACUCACAGGCACCACCUGUGAAGGAGGGACCAUUGUUCAUCCACAGGACCAAAGGCAAAGGCCCUCUUGCAUCCUCCUCGUUCAAGAAACUCUACUUCUCCCUUACCACUGAAGCCCUCAGCUUCGCCAAGACGUCCAGCUCCAAGAAAAGCACCUUCAUCAAGCUGGCCAGCAUCCGGGCUGCGGAGAAGGUGGAGGAAAAGAGCUUCGGCAGCUCCCACAUCAUGCAGGUCAUCUAUGCAGAUGAUGUUGGCCGUGCCCAGACUGUCUACCUGCAGUGCAAGUGUGUGAACGAGUUGAACCAGUGGCUGUCUGCAUUGCGCAAAGCGAGCACCAACAACAGGGGCCUCCUACGGUCAUACCAUCCUGGCAUCUUCCGUGGGGACAAGUGGAGCUGCUGUCACCAGAAGGACAAGACAGAUCAGGGAUGUGACAAGACCCACUCUCGGGUGACCCUGCAGGAAUGGAAUGACCCACUGGAUCAUGACCUUGAGGCUCAGCUCAUCUACAGGCACCUGCUAGGCGUGGAGGCUGCUCUGCGGGAAAGAUACCAGCUCCUGCGUGGGGCGACAGAAGCAGGUGUCUCACCCACGGGCUGUGAUGGAGCUCCCGAGGACUCGCUGGCCCAGCUGCUUCGUGUGCUGCAAGACCUUCGAGAAGCCCACGGCUCCAGCCUGGCCAGCCCAGCAGCCAGAGAGCCCCAUCACCUUCUAGAGCUACAGACGUGAGGUGUCCGUGAGGUGUCCAUCGAGCCCCUGUUAGGUGUUUGCAGAUCCUAGACAUGCUCAGGAUCCUUGUCCCAGUCAACUGUUCUGGGGAGGGCUGUGACCCAGCAUAGUCUUCUCCAUGUCUGCGAGGGACAACCGUGACACCUGCUUCCUUGGGAGAACCAACUGCUCUUGUAGUCCCCAUGACCCAUAUUCUUCACCCAGGAGAACAGGCUGUCCACCUCACAUUGCUUUGCCACUGUCUGGCCUCCUAGGUCGGAUGCCACAGUGGUUUGCUGUCAUAAAUAAAUGCUCUGUAACUGCCGCAA